GUGCUAGCUUUGCCAGCACACAUAAGAAUGAUACAGAGAAAACUAGCAUGAUCUCUACACAAGGAUGAUAUGUAAAUUCAUGAAGUAUGCCAUAUUUAA
ensembl:snRNA U6 U6 spliceosomal RNA